rnacentral:rRNA from 1 species
GACGAACGCUGGCGGCGUGCCUUACGCAUGCAAGUCGAGCGGUUCCAGUGGCUUCGGCCGCUGGGAUAGCGGCAGACGGCUGAGUAACGCGUAAGCAACCUGUCCUUCAGUGGGGGAUAACCUCCCGAAAGGGGGGCUAAUACCGCAUUCGUUCCCGCGGGGAAGCGCCGCGGGAGGAAAGCCUUCGGGCGCUGAAGGAGGGGCUUGCGUCCUAUCAGGUAGUUGGUAGGGUAACGGCCUACCAAGCCUACGACGGGUAGCUGGUCUGAGAGGACGAUCAGCCAGACGGGGACUGAGACACGGCCCCGACUCCUACGGGAGGCAG